rnacentral:tRNA from 1 species
GGGGAUGUGGUGUAAUGGCAGCCACGCGGGUCUUAGAAGCCCGUGCCGCAAGGCGUACCGGUUCAAGUCCGGUCAUCCCCAC